UGGGGAAUAUUGCGCAAUGGGCGAAAGCCUGACGCAGCGACGCCGCGUGAGGGAUGAAGGUUUUCGGAUAGUAAACCUCUGUCAGAAGGGAAGAAACCGCACUGUGCUAAUCAGCAGUGCCUUGACGGUACCUUCAAAGGAAGCACCGGCUAACUCCGUGCCAGCAGCCGCGGUAAUACGGAGGGUGCAAGCGUUAAUCGGAAUUACUGGGCGUAAAGCGCACGUAGGCUGCUUUGUAAGUCAGGGGUGAAAUCCCACGGCUCAACCGUGGAACUGCCUUUGAUACUGCUUAGCUUGAAUCCGGGAGAGGGUGGCGGAAUUCCAGGUGUAGGAGUGAAAUCCGUAGAUAUCUGGAGGAACAUCAGUGGCGAAGGCGGCCACCUGGACCGGUAUUGACGCUGAGGUGCGAAAGCGUGGGGAGCAAACAGG
rnacentral:rRNA from 1 species